GGCGAUUUCUGGGUGUCCGGCACGGUUUCCGGCUGCACGUCUAACUUCAGGUGGUGCUCCUUGAACCGGGAAUUCGUUGAACCUGAGAUCAGGUGGAAGGCUGGACACCCAAUGGCAGGCCUGGACUGCGUUUACCUCGAGGUUCGAAACGGAUCCAUGCUGCUGGCCACCGCGAACUGCGCUGAAAACAAAACUUUCCUUUGCGAUGUGCGGAAAAACUCGACCACCCAAAAGGGAAUGCAGGCUGAGUGUGCCGACCUUUGGAACAUCACCCCAGAACAAAUCGACUUGCUUCUGAAUAUCAGCGUCUUUUUGACGACAACCAUUUCGCUCGAUUUAAAAUGCUUCUUGAAAUGUAUUGGUGUUGAAAUCGGAAUGGUAACUAACUCUUUAAACACUGAUUUUUGAUGAUUUCGUUCUGCU